rnacentral:rRNA from 1 species
UACAGAGGUCUCAAGCGUUGUUCGGAUUCAUUGGGCGUAAAGGGUGCGUAGGUGGCGGGGUAAGUCAGGUGUGAAAUCUCGGGGCUCAACCCCGAAACUGCACUUGAUACUGCCUUGCUCGAGUACUGGAGAGGAGAUUGGAAUUUACGGUGUAGCAGUGAAAUGCGUAGAUAUCUGGAGGAACACCGGUGGCGAAGGCGGCAUCCUGGACCGGCAUUGACGCUGAGGAGCGAAAGCCAGGGGAGCAAACGGG